rnacentral:rRNA from 1 species
GACGAACGCUGGCGGCGUGCUUAACACAUGCAAGUCGAACGGAAAGGCCCUGCUUUUGUGGGGUGCUCGAGUGGCGAACGGGUGAGUAACACGUGAGUAACCUGCCCUUGACUUUGGGAUAACUUCAGGAAACUGGGGCUAAUACCUGCUAGGAGCUCCUGCUGCAUGGUGGGGGUUGGAAAGUUUGGGCGGUUGGGGAUGGACUCGCGGCUUAUCAGCUUGUUGGUGGGGUAGUGGCUUACCAAGGCUUUGACGGGUAGCCGGCCUGAGAGGGUGACCGGCGACAUGGGGACUGAGAGACGGCGCAGACUCCUACGGGAGGCAGCAGUGGGGAAUAUGGCACAAUGGGCGGAAGCCUGAUGCAGCAACGCCGCGUGCGGGAUGACGGCCUUCGGGUUGGAAACCGCUUUAGCCUGUGACGAAGCGGGAGUGACGGUAAUGGGUAAAGAAGCACCGGCUAACUACGUG